CGGUUCGGCAGCUGAAAACUGCUUGGCUCCUCUGGGUUUGGUAUCUUGCUCCAGAAACUGAGAAAGCAUCAACAGCAGAAAUCCCUGAAAACACACAUGAUGAGGAUUGUGCUUUCCUUAAGAUAAGCAUCUGUGGAGGUUUCAGGAGGCAAACGACUCUGAUGAAGGAUGAGCAAGACAACAAAUUGUUCUGCUUUCCUGGCUGAUUUGACAAAAUAUUCCCAGAGAAUGGCUGCUAGUGUUGGGGGCUGCUAUAAUCUAAAUCUGUUUGUCACUGAUUCGAGUUCGUGAAAUUAAGCUCUGCAACCCUGACUGCUUGAGACCCCCUCCCACCAGAAAUGUACAGCUGUGACCAUCUGUGUGAUAUUGUUAAUAUCAUGGAUCUGUACUCUCCUAUCCUUUGGAUUCUGACAGCAUACACUCUCAGUUCCUGCCAAUAAGAGAACCACCUGUGCAUAUUCACUAUGUUCCCAUUAAAAAGGUCCUGCCCACCUCUACUCCUCCUCUCUCUUUCUCUCCCUCUCUCUGUAUGUUUCCUGCAGUCUCCCUCUCUGUCUUUGUCUU